GACGAACGCUGGCGGCGUGCUUAACACAUGCAAGUCGAACGGAAAGGCCCUGCUUUUGUGGGGUGCUCGAGUGGCGAACGGGUGAGUAACACGUGAGUAACCUGCCCUUGACUGUGGGAUAACUUCAGGAAACUGGGGCUAAUACCGGAUAGGAGCUCCUGCUGCAUGGUGGGGGUUGGAAAGUUUCGGCGGUUGGGGAUGGACUCGCGGCUUAUCAGCUUGUUGGUGGGGUAGUGGCUUACCAAGGCUUUGACGGGUAGCCGGCCUGAGAGGGUGACCGGCCACAUUGGGACUGAGAUACGGCCCAGACUCCUACGGGGGGCAGCAGUGGGGAAUAUUGCACAAUGGGCGGAAGCCUGAUGCAGCAACGCCGCGUGCGGGAUGACGGCCUUCGGGUUGUAAACCGCUUUCGCCUGUGACGAAGCGUGAGUGACGGUAAUGGGUAAAGAAGCACCGGCUAACUCCGUG
rnacentral:rRNA from 1 species